AAACUAUCGUCUCGUGCACUUAACAUAUAAAACAGUCACUCCCUUCAAGUCUACUGUCCAAAGGCCAAGUGCAUCCUCAUGGAGCAGAGCAGUAUUUACUGUCCUAAUAAGGCACCAGCUUUCCAUCCUAACACCAGGAUGCUGGGACCAUGGCCCUGUGAAGAGGAAAGCACAUUUCACUCACAGCCUGGAGGUCUCCUCCAUGGUCAGCAGCCUCUGAAAGCCUGGAGGAGGCAGCACAUGAUGGCAGAAGCUCUCGAUGGGAAAGCAGUGACAUCAUGGCCAGCAAGAGAGCCAGAGCAGAGAUGGACUCAGUCCCACAGUGCCCACAAGGUCACAGUCCCAGUAGCAGAGGACCUCUGCAGAUGCGGCACCUAGUUGCUCAGAACCUCCAAGCUUCUGAGGGAAUUCAGCUCCGAACCAUUCCUACCUGCGGUCUAGCUGAGCUCCCACAUGCUCCUCCUCACCCUGCCUGUACCCUACUUACCCUAAGAAGUUGAACUCCACUGGAGCUGCACAUGUGGCACUUUCUGUGUCAUCCCUUCUGAUUGUGUGAAAAUGGAUCCUGUAAACAUUCCAUGCACAUUCAUCAUUCUGUUUUUUCAGACAGAAGUGGUCAUCAUUAUCUUAAGUGCACUGUGCCAUAGUGAAAGUUACCUACAAUCCUGCAAGAUAAGAAAAAAUGGGAUCAACAAGACAGAGGACAACUGGACUCAUGGUCAAUGGUGAGAGUCCCAGCAUUUAUACUCUGCCCAGCAGGUUUUUAAACUCAAGUCCAAUUUCCAGGAUGAGCCUUUCUUCUUCUAGGUGAAGGACAGACACAGAGGCAAGUCCUUAGCACUGAACCUGAAAUCUCAGUAAUUGGACCCCAAAGUCAUAUAGAGAAAAGAGCAACAGUAUUAUUCUCACGAGCAGUAUUGCCAAUUAAGGGGUAAAAGCAGGACUGCGGUGAACUCAAAGUAAAACGUGGGCUGAUAAGAUGAAGAUGCACUAGAAAUUGACUGUAAGGUACAUUUUUCAGUUUAAAUUAGGAUCUAGGGUGAGAGAAGCCCAUCACUGGUAUUUUCACUGACUGAAGGUAGAUAAGAUAGAUGCUGAUUUAGAAAAAGUCAUAGCAGCUUUAGGACUAGUCUUUGAGAGAGAAGGAAGCCAAAAAUUUCUCUGAUCAUCAUGGAUGUUGUCACUGUAUAGCUAAUACCACAGUACUGCCACAUAAUUUACAGUAGUAGACCGUGUCAUAAAAAUUAAGGAUAUAAUUGGGCACACAGUACUCAUUUUAAACAUUGCUCUAAACUAUUACUCUCAAAUCUCGGUGUUUAAAUUCACAGGCACCCUAAUGUCUGUGUAAGGCUUUCUUGGAAGAAUUUCCAGGUAUCUUUGAUAAGAAGAAAACUUUGUACACAUUUUUAGCCUCAUCUUUAGAGAUGAAUUUAGACUAAGCUGCAUCACCUGGGUCUCAGGGAGGGAGCAGGGAAUGAAGACAGCCCUUACCCACCUGAGUCAUACUUUCUGUUGUUGUGGCCACUGCUGUUGCUGCCAUUGUGUGGUAAGUGACAGAACACUGAUACCACCCAUGCAGUCACCUGGCUGAGAUAAAAUGCUAUCAUCCAGACCAGUGUACACGGAGGACAACUAGAGCUCUGAAGUUUGGAAGACAUAGUUCAUUCUGCAGAAUAUCUGCAGGGAAAUUGAAGGCAAUUUGUGCUCUGGUAAUAAUUUUAAAAGCAAGAAUAUUCAAAACAACCUACAGUACCAAGUUUGAUAAUUAAAAAAAAAAGAAAUCAAAAAAGAAAAUGCUAUGAAAUAUUAGCUUGAUGAAAGUUUUUAGAAGCAAUAUUACAAACUCGUGAAAUUCUAGCUGAAGAAUAAAAAAAUAUAUACAUUCUUUGAAACUAUCAUAACAUUUGUUUUCCUCCCACAACUGGAAAAGCAAGACCAUGGUUUAUAUUGCUUUCUCCAGCUGUUCCAUAUCUCAUAUGCUGCCUAUAUUUAAGAGCACAUGUUACUCAAUCUUCUUGCUACAGUUGAGAGCAAGAAUGUCCCCUGAAUGCUUUUAGAUGGUGUUUUAUCCACGUGGCCAGUCCAGCUGGUUAGGAGGCUGCCUCUCUUGGCAUGACCCGGAAGUUCUACCUCCUCACUACUUCCACUUCCUGGUCACCGUGACCCACGUAGCUCUGCUCCCCCAGCCUCCUGUGCCGCCAUUUCUGUCAGGAGGCAGCCAGUUACAUGCUGCAACCUGUAAAAACCGUGCGUCCAACGAGACCUCAUCUCAUUUAAAUUGUGUGUGUUGGAAUUAGCUUCCUGUUACAGGAAGAGGCGAAGACACCGCAUCUGGUGGAUGGCCGUAGAUUCUCUUAAAUUCCACUAGACAGGCUGAAAUAAAUCUUUUCUAAAAUAUUAUUUUAAAGGUACAGAAGAGAAAGUCCAUCCACUCUCCUUUCUCAUUUCUUAGGAAUUCCGUGGCGCUGUGUGUCCGUGAAAUAUCUGCACUCCCUUGCUCACUCACUGUGCUUUCUAAACUGCAGGGUUCAGCGUUGGGUAUCACUAACAUUUCAGUGGCACACUGUGCACACCCACAUGACAUUCCGACCAGGGUAGAGGGUGUUAAAUACACAAACACAAACAUGAUUUCAAAGUGUGACAGAGACUGAAAGAAAAACCAUAACUUCUGUCCCAUUGAAGGACCUGGCCCUACCCACGCAGGCCUGAUGAUGAGAGGCUUCAGGAGGGGAAGGCGCCCCAGAGGUGCUGCGGGCUAAGCAAAGUGGGUCUGGGUGCUGUGACCACAGCGAAGCCCCAGUGCUUGGUACAGACCAGGAAGGACAGUAGUGUGACCUGGUCCACAGGGAGGGCAAGAGCUGCAGGGACGAACGGAUGACAAAAUGAUUCAAGGGGAAAAAAAAAAAAAAAAAAAAAAAAAAACCCUCAGUAGAAAACUUAGCAAGGGCUUUU